rnacentral:rRNA from 1 species
AGAACGAACGCUGGCGGCGUGCUUAACGCAUGCAAGUCGAACGCGAAAGGGACUUCGGUCCUGAGUAAAGUGGCGCACGGGUGAGUAACGCGUAGAUAACCUGUCUUCAUGUCUGGAAUAAUACGCCGAAAGGGGUACUAAUACCGGAUAUUCUUGCUUUUCAUAAGUUAUGCAAGCAAAGGUGGCCUCUGCAUAUGCUACUGCAUGAAGAGGGGUCUGCGUACCAUUAGCUAGUAGGUGGGGUAAUGGCCUACCUAGGCGACGAUGGUUAGCGGGUCUGAGAGGAUGAUCCGCCACACUGGCACUGGAACACGGGCCAGACUCCUACGGGAGGCAGCAGUGAGGAAUAUUGCGCAAUGGGGGAAACCCUGACGCAGCGACGCCGCGUGAGUGAGGAAGGCCUUCGGGUCGUAAAGCUCUGUCAAGAGGAAAGAAGUGUACAAUGGCUAAUACCUGUUGUAUUUGACGGUACCUCUAAAGGAAGCACCGGCUAACUCCGUGCCAGCCGCCGC